rnacentral:rRNA from 1 species
CCUGGUGAUAUUUUUUAUAUUAGGUCUAACCUGCUCAAUGAAUUAAUUAAAUAGCCGCAGUAUUUUGACUGUGCGAAGGUAGCAUAAUCAUUUGUCUUUUAAUUGAAGGCUUGUAUGAAUGGUUGGAUGAGGGAAUUGCUUUCUUUAUAUUAUUUAUUGAAUUUAAUUUUUAGGUUAAAAAGCUUAAAUUUUUAAAUGGGACGAGAAGACCCUAUAGAGUUUAAUUUGAUGUUAAAUUGUUUAAUGAUUGGUUAAUAUUUUAUAUUUUUUUAUAUCAAAUUUUGUUGGGGUGACAGUAAGAUUUAUUUAACUCUUAUAAUUUAUAAUUUAUUUCUUAGUAUAUAAAAGACCCUAAUAUAUUGACCUUCAGAACAAGUUACCCUAGGGAUAACAGCGUUAUUUUUCUGGAGAGUUCUUAUCAAUAAAAGAGUUUGCGACCUCGAUGUUGGAUUAAAAUUAGAUUUAAGCGCAGCAGCUUAA